UUCCCUUGGUGAUGGGCAAAGAAACACCUUGGUGGUGGAGUUCUUAUAUUAGUCAGGGGCACAGCAGAUGAAGUCCUUUGUUCAUCCUAGUUUGAUGUCUGACUUGAUGGCUAAAGUUGUUUUAUGCAUAGGACACAUAA